CACAGCAUAAGAACACAGUCUGUUGCACAUCCAGUCAGUCAGUUUCAAACCUCGCAUCUACACACUGAAGUUUUCCGGACCUACACUUGCAGAAAGCAACCAUGUAAUGCCUCAGGAGUCUGUAGAGGGGACGAAGACGCGUUCUGCUGCACUCAACAGAGCUCAAGACCAACGGGACGCCAUCAGGACGCCACGUCAACGGGACGCCAUCAGGACGUCACAUCAACCCCUCAGGAGCAAAUCCAGAUCUACGCAUGACACCCCCCCCCCCCCACACACACACACACACACACACACACACACACACACACACAGAUGUACACACAGACACACUAUCAUUUGGUUCUAAACAAUGACACACACUAAUAUUUAGAUGUACACAAAGACACAAUAACCAUUAGAUGUACACACAGACACACUAACAAUGAGAUCUACACACAGACACACUAUCAUUUGGUUCUAAACAAUGACACACACUAAUAUUUAGAUGUACACAAAGACAAUAACAAUUAGAUGUACACACAGACACACUAACAAUUAGAUGUACACACAGACACACUAACAUUUGGUUCUAAACACAGACACACACUAAUAUUUAGAUGUACUCAAAGACAACAAUUAGAUGUACACACAGACACACUAACAAUUAGAUCCACACACAGACACACUAACAAUUAGAUGUACACACAGACACACUAACAUUUGGUUCUAAACAAAGACACACACUAACAUUUAGAUGUACACAAAGACACAUUAAUAUUUAAAUGUACACAAAGACACAAUAACAAUUAGAUGUACACAAAGACACAAUAACCAUUAGAUGUACACACAGACACACUAACAAUGAGAUCUACACACAGACACACUAUCAUUUGGUUCCAAACAAUGACACACACUAAUAUUUAGAUGUACACAAAGACACACUAACAUUUGGUUCUAAACAAAGACACACACUAACAUUUAGAUGUACACAAAGACACAUUAAUAUUUAGAUGUACACACAGACACACUAACAAUUAGAUCUACACACAGACACACUAACAAUUAGAUGUACACACGGACACAUCCUGAUGACCAUCCUCACGUCUCUUCUCCUUGUCUGCAGACCAACAGGACGCCAUCAGGACGCCACGCCAUCGGGACGUCAUCAGGAUUCCAUCAGGACGCCAUCAGGACGCCGCGUCAACCCCUCAGGAGCAAAUCCAGAUCUACUCAUGACACACACAGACACACACACAGACCAACAGGACGCCAUCAGGACGCCACGUCAUCGGGACGCCAUCAGGACACCACGUCAUCGGGACGCCAUCAGGACGCCGCGUCAACCCCUCAGGAGCAAAUGCAGAUCUACUCAUGACACACACACACACACACAGAUGAACUCACAGACACACUAACAUUUGGUUGUAAACGAAGACACACUAAUAUUUAGAUGUGCACAAAGACAUAUUAAUAUUUAGAUGUACACACAGACACACUAACAUUUAGAUGUACACACAGACACACUAACAAUUAGAUGUACACACAGACACACUCAUUUGGUUUUAAACAAAGACACACACUGAUAUUUAGAUGUACACAAAGACACAAUAACAAUUAGAUCUACACACAGACACACUAACAAUUAGAUGUACACACGGACACACUAACAAUUAGAUCUACACACAUACACACUAACAAUUAGAUGUACACACAGACACAUCCUGAUGACCAUCCUCACGUCUCUUCUCCUUGUCUGCAGACCAACAGGACGCCAUCAGGACGCCACGUCAUCGGGACGCUACGUCAUCGGGACACCAUCAGGACGCUAUCAGGACGCCACGUCAUAGGGACGCCAUAAGGAUUCCAUCAGGACGCCAUCAGGACGCCGCGUCAACCCCUCAGGAGCAAAUCCAGAUCUACUCAUGACACACACACACACCCCCACACACACGCACACACACACAGAUGUACUCAGAGACACACUAACAUUUAGACACGCUGGCAAAUUUAGAUGUACAAUUAGAUGUACACACAGACACACUAACAUUUGGUUCUAAACAAAGACACACACUAACAUUUAGAUGUACACAAAGACACAUUAAUAUUUAGAUGUACACACAGACACACUAACAAUUAGAUGUACACACAGAUACACUAUCAUUUGGUUCUAAACAAAGGCACACACUAACAUUUAGAUGUACACAAAGACACACACUAAUAUUUAGAUGUACACAAAGACAUAUUAAUAUUUAGAUGUACACACAGACACACUAACAUUUAGAUGUACACACAGACACUAACAAUUAGAUGUACACACAGACACACUAACAAUUAGAUCCACACACAGACACACUAACAAUUAGAUGUACACACAGACACACUAACAAUUAGAUCUACACACAGACUCACUAACAAUUAGAUGUACACACGGACACACUAACAAUUAGAUCUACACACAGACACACUAACAAUUAUAUGUACACACAGACACAUCCUGAUGAUCCUCCUCACGUCUCUUCUCCUUGUCUGCAGACCAACAGGACGCCAUCGGGACGCCAUCAGGACACCACGUCAUCGGGACGCCACGUCAUCGGGACGCCAUCAGGACGCCGCGUCAACCCCUCAGGAGCAAUUCCAGAUCUACUCAUGACACACACACACACAGAUACCAACAGGACUUCAUCAGGACGCCACGCCAUCGGGACGCCAUCAGGACACCACGUCAUCGGGACGCCAUCAGGAUGCCACGUCAUCGGGACGCCCUCAGGACAAAUCUGAAUCGGGACGCCAUCAGGACGCCGCGUCAACCCCUCAGGAGCAAAUCCAGAUCUACUCAUGACACACACACACACACAGAUGAACUCAGACACACUAUCAUUUGGUUCUAAACAAUGACACACACUAAUAUUUAGAUGUACACAAAGACACAAUAACAAUUAGAUGUACACACAGACACACUAACAGUUAGAUCUACACACAGACACACUAACAAUUAGAUGUACACACAGACACACUAACAUUUGGUUCUAAACAAAGACACACUAACAUUUAGAUGUACACAAAGACACAUUAAUAUUUAGAUGUACACACAGACGCACUAACAAUUAGAUGUACACACACACACUAACAUUUGGUUCUAAACAAAGACACACACUAACAUUUAGAUGUACACAAAGACACAAUAACAAUUUGAUUUACACACAGACACACUAACAAUUAGAUGUACACACAGAGACAUCCUGAUGAUCUUCCUCAUGUCUCUUCUCCUUGUCUGCAGACCAACAGGACGCCAUCAGGACGCCACGCCAUCGGGACGCCAUCAGGACACCACAUCAUCGGGACACCAUCAGGACACCACGUCAUCGGGACGCCAUCAGGACGCCUAACAAUUAGAUGUACACACAGACACACUAACAAUUAGAUGUACACACAGACACACUAUCAUUUGGUUCUAAACAAUGACACACACUAAUAUUUAGAUGUACACACAGACACACUAACAGAUAGAUCUACACACAGACACACUAACAAUUAGAUGUACACACAGACACACUAUCAUUUGGUUCUAAACAAUGACACACACUAAUAUUUAGAUGUACACAAAGACACAAUAACAAUUAGAUGUACACACAGACACAUUAGUAUUCAGAAGUACACAAAAACACAAACAUCUGGUUCUGCACAAAGACACAUUAAUAUUUAAAUGUACACACAGACACACUAACAUUUAGAUGUACACACAGACACACUAACAAUUAGAUGUACACACAGACACACUAACAACAUUAACAUGUUAAUAACUUUUCUUCUUUUCUCUCUUCUCAGGAACUGCUUCAGAUGUUUUCCCAAUGAUUGUGUUAUUAUUAUUGUUAAAUAUGUCGUCUGUUUAUUAUUUUAACAAUGAAAAUACAUUUUAAUAAAAAUAAAACCAAAU
ensembl:lncRNA